AAAGCCCAGUUCUACUGUGGCCGACGUGGCGCUUUCUCUGCGCUCGCGACGAAGAGAGAAAGAGAGAGAGAGCAGAGAGAGAGAGGGAGAGAGAGCAGACAGAGAGAGAGAGAGAGGGAAAGAGAGGGAAAGAGAGCAGACAGAGAGAGAGGGAGAGAGAGAUGAGAGAGAGCAGACAGAGAGAGAGAGAGAGGUAGAGAGAGAGAGGUAGAAAGAGAGGGGGGGGCACGGGAG
rnacentral:lncRNA from 1 species